rnacentral:rRNA from 1 species
UACGUAGGGUGCAAGCGUUUAAUCGGAAUUACUGGGCGUAAAGCGUGCGCAGGCGGCUAUGCAAGACAGAUGUGAAAUCCCCGGGCUCAACCUGGGAACUGCAUUUGUGACUGCAUGGCUAGAGUGCGGCAGGAGGGGGAUGGAAUUCCGCGUGUAGGCAGUGAAAUGCGUAGAUAUGCGGAGGAACACCGAUGGCGAAGGCAAUCCCCUGGGCCUGCACUGACGCUCAUGCACGAAAGCGUGGGGAGCAAACAGG